GCGGGAGUUGUCUAGUGGUUAUGAUAUCUGCUUUACAUAAUCGAAUGUAAGACGCAGAAGGUCCCCGGUUCGACCCCCGGCUUCCGUA